rnacentral:misc_RNA from 1 species
GGAAAAAAGGAUUGAAUCUCCAUAUUAUAAGGUUCAUCAAAAGGUUUUGGGAUUGGGAAGAAAGUUCAUGGCAUAAGUAGAAAUAGAAUAAUAAGGAGGGGAAAAUGGGCAAAUGGGGAAAGAAGGUUUGAUGAUUGUAAGGAUAAGGACGCCACGUUCGCGAAGAACAUGUCAUUUUCAUUGGUCUGCUUGGCCCAUUCUUCAUUCAUCGUCAGUUUAUUGUUA